GCGGGGGUACCCGAGACUGGUCAAAGGGGCGAGACUUAAGAUCUCGUGGCUCAGGCCUUCGCGGGUUCAAGUCCCGCCCCCCGCACCA
rnacentral:tRNA from 1 species